GACGAACGCUGGCGGCGUGCUUAACACAUGCAAGUCGAACGGAAAGGCCCUGCUUUUGUGGGGUGCUCGAGUGACGAACGGGUGAGUAACACGUGAGUAACCUGCCCUUGACUUUGGGAUAACUUCAGGAAACUGGGGCUAAUACCGGAUAGGAGCUCCUGCUGCAUGGUGGGGGUUGGAAAGUUUCGGCGGUUGGGGAUGGACUCGCGGCUUAUCAGCUUGUUGGUGGGGUAGUGGCUUACCAAGGCUUUGACGGGUAGCCGGCCUGAGAGGGUGACCGGCCACAUUGGGACUGAGAUACAGCCCAGACUCCUACGGGAGGCAGCAGUGGGGAAUAUUGCACAAUGGGCGGAAGCCUGAUGCAGCAACGCCGCGUGCGGGAUGACGGCCUUCGGGUUGUAAACCGCUUUCGCCUGUGACGAAGCGUGAGUGACGGUAAUGGGUAAAGAAGCACCGGCUAACUACGUG
rnacentral:rRNA from 1 species